rnacentral:lncRNA from 1 species
AUGUCAUUGAGUCCUGUUGAACAUUUCUUCCCAGUGUCAGCCCAUGUUUCGGGAUCAAAGCUGUCCUCUUUGGAGAUUGGUGAUGUCUCUCCUCUAGUAAUACAGUGGUUCCUAGUUUGUCCUUCCCCUUCCCCUCUAUUAGCACAGGCAGUUAUUCCUGAGGAGUUUCUACUCCUGGAUUCAUGGCCCUGAAGAUGCCCACAGCAGCACUGACUAAACUGCUCAGGAAUGGUACCAACUAUAAAAGAAAAGAUGGAGAAAGGAACAAGAAAUUAUGUAAAACCAGUGAAGGAUGCAAACAGGCAACAUAUGCACAAACUGCUCAGUAUAUACUGUAAUAGCUUACAAAAUUUUAAGUCGUAAAGCUUUAGUUUGGAACUAACAUGGAACCAAUGAUGUAGGAAUUGGGCAUGCUAAGAUUAAAAAGUAUAUAACUGGAUCAAAAGGAAAGAAGGCCAUGUAAAUGAAUCAAUGCCUAUACAAGCAUGUGUAAGACAGAAGCACGAGAGUUUGAACAAAAUGCAUGAGCCUUGUUGGAA